rnacentral:lncRNA from 1 species
GACAAAGGAGACCUACUGUACUUUUUUCUUUUUUCUUCUCCUGCGUGAGAAGGGCAAGUUCCACGUUUUGAUCGAACAAAGUCAGAUUCAGAAAUUCCAGUGUCGAUUAAGUGGAAAGACGGACCCUCAUUCUAUCUGCUUGGCAAACAGUCCUUAUUAAUAGCCACAUGGACAGAACCUGAGGUUUGGAGAUGCGCGAAUGGCUUUCAGCCUGUGCUGGAAAGCUCCCAGGAGCCAAUGGAGUUUUCUGCAGGCUCUGAACAGUGGGUUUCCUCUCUUUCCCUGGAGGACAGUGGGGAGCUGUUUGGAUCUUAAGAUGAAAGCCUACCUGGAGGAAAACACUGAAGUCACCAGCAGUGGCAGCCUUACCCCUGAAAUCCAGUUACGGCUUUUAACCCCCAGGUGCAAGUUUUGGUGGGAAAGGGCUGACCUGUGGCCCUACAGUGAUCCCUACUGGGCUAUCUACUGGCCAGGAGGCCAGGCUCUGUCUAGGUAUCUUUUGGAUAACCCUGAUGUUGUUAGAGGAAAGUCUGUCUUAGAUCUUGGGAGUGGAUGUGGAGCUACAGCCAUCGCUGCUAAGAUGAGUGGAGCGUCGAACAUCUUGGCCAACGACGUAGACCCCAUUGCAGGAAUGGCGAUUACACUAAAUUGCAAACUAAAUGGACUGAAUCCUUUUCCUAUUUUAACCAAAAACAUUUUGAAUACCCGACAAGGUAAGUUUGAUCUCAUUGUUCUUGGAGAUAUGUUUUAUGAUGAAGACCUUGCAGACAGUCUUCACUUGUGGCUGCAAAACUGCUUUUGGGCCUAUGGAACUCGAGUACUGAUUGGUGACCCUGGGAGGCCCCAGUUCAGUGGACACAGCAUUCAGCAUCAACUGUACCAACUAGCAGAAUACACACUUCCAGAGCCAACCCAGCAAGAUAACAAUGGACUGACCACAAGUGCAGUAUGGGAUUUUCAUCCCUGAUUUGUCAAAGGGCUUUCAAGUAUGAAUAUAGUUCUGUUUGUAUUAAGUUCUAAACAUUUCCGCUGUAGGAGUUACUCGACAGUUUAAAGAAUGCAAUUCAGUGGGGCGUGGUGGCGUGGGCCUUGACUACUACCACUUAGAAGGCUGAGGUAGGCUCAUCUCUUUGACUCUGAGGCCAGCUUGGUCUAUAGUGAGUUCAAGGACAGCGAGAGUAAUAUAGUAAGACCAUAUUUCAAAAAUUGAUAGAAUAGCUAGAUAAUAAAUUUCUUCAUUCCUUUGCUAUGACACCUUGGAUAGCUCUGUAUGGUUUACUAAAGUUAGUUAGGGUUAUGUUCCCAUUUCACAUAGCAGAGUGUCAGGAUUUUAUAAGAAAACACUGUGUCACGUACAAUUGAUUGUGCAGAUGGUAUGUUUAUAUAUGAUGGAUGUAAUAUGCAUAGUUUGCUUCAGGAUUAAUAAAAUAUCUCUGGAAAGAU